rnacentral:rRNA from 1 species
GGUGGCCGCAGUCUAACCAUGCAGUCGAGCGGAUGAGGGAGCUUGCUCCUGGAUUCAGCGGCGGACGGGUGAGUAAUGCCUAGGAAUCUGCCUGGUAGUGGGGGAUAACGUCCGGAAACGGGCGCUAAUACCGCAUACGUCCUGAGGGAGAAAGUGGGGGAUCUUCGGACCUCACGCUAUCAGAUGAGCCUAGGUCGGAUUAGCUAGUUGGUGGGGUAAAGGCCUACCAAGGCGACGAUCCGUAACUGGUCUGAGAGGAUGAUCAGUCACACUGGAACUGAGACACGGUCCAGACUCCUACGGGAGGCAGCAGUGGGGAAUAUUGGACAAUGGGCGAAAGCCUGAUCCAGCCAUGCCUCGUGUGUGAAGAAGGUCUUCGGAUUGUAAAGCACUUUAA